GCAGGAAACCCUACAACUAACAGACAAGAUGCCUUCAAGACAUCUUGAGCCUAGCUACUUCCCGUGGCCUGUAUUUGGUCCACAGGAAACUCGUGCAGUCUUGCUACAGCAAAUUGAGGUGGUAUAGGGUACCUGCUGCUGCCUCUCUCCUCACUUUUCCACAGAGGGCUGCCCCAGCGUGACCCCCACUUCCAGAGUUUCUCCAGCCAGGAGAAUCCUGAAAUCUCUGCAAAUAAGCAGUCCAGGAGCCAGAGAAUUGUGGGAUCUCAUAUAAACAAAUCAUCCAGGAAAAACACAGCCAGUCUCCUUUUGGUAAACCUCCAUGACUGGGGAUCCCCUGCCACCUGGAAAGCAGUUCUGCCUGCCAUGCAUGUCAUCACUGAUUUUUACUGCUGCAGCAGACUCUGUCAUACCUGCCUGCUUCUUCAGUGAAUUGUUCAGUGCACACCACCAGCUACCUGCUGUAAGCAUUCGCACUUCUCUACCUGCCUGGCAGCCUUUCUCAGCUGAACACAGGCCAGGCCAGAAGUGCCAGGGAGUUAAUGUCCUUGGAAGCAGCUCUCUACCAAUGACAAAUGGAGCUGGUGGAUAAAUUCUCAGCUUCCUCCCUUCUCAGGUGGAACAGCCCUGAGAUGUGCUCUAUGCAAUCUCCCACAAGUCCCCAGCAGGCUCAAGCUCCCAUUGUCCAACCCUGGUAACCUGCUCAUCGACACCCCUGUCUUGCCUUCCCUUCCUGGCCUCACUUCCUCACUCUCUUACUGUUGCCUCCUGAGAUCGCAUCCAAAGUAAAUGACCUGCACCCA